GGCAAGGACAGCUUGUGGCUCAAGUGGUAGAGCAUCUGCUUAAUGUGCAGAAAGUCCCAGGUUCAAUCCCUGGCAUUGCCA